UACAGAGGAGCCAAGCGUUGUCCGGAUUGACUGGGCGUAAAGCGCACGCAGGCGGCACCGCGCGUGGGGUGUGAAAUCUGGCCGCUUAACGGCCAGGCGCCAUCCCAUACGGCGGAGCUGGAGUGAUGCAGGAGGUCGGUGGAAUUGCCGGUGUAGUGGUGAAAUGCGUAGAGAUCGGCAGGAACACCCCAGGGGGAAACCGAGCC
rnacentral:rRNA from 1 species